UAGGGAAUAUUAGUUAAUGUGCGAAAGCGCGAACUAGCAACGCCGCGUGUGCGAUGAAGGCCUUCGGGUCGUAAAGCACUUUUGAAGGGGAAAAGGAAGGAUGGUACCCUUCGAAUAAGCCUCGGCUAACUACGUGCCAGCAGCCGCGGUAAAACGUAGGAGGCGAGCGUUAUCCGGAUUUACUGGGCGUAAAGCGCGUGCAGGUGGUUGGGUAAGUUGGAUGUGAAAGCUCCUGGCUUAACUGGGAGAGGUCGUUCAAUACUACCGAACUUGAGUGUGGGAGAGGGAGGUGGAAUUCCGGGUGUAGUGGUGAAAUGCGUAGAUAUCCGGAGGAACACCAGUGGCGAAAGCGGCCUCCUGGCCCAUUACUGACACUCAGACGCGAAAGCUAGGGGAGCAA
rnacentral:rRNA from 1 species